rnacentral:rRNA from 1 species
AUUAUACCGCGAAACUGCGAAUGGCUCAUUAAAUCAGUUAUCGUUUAUUUGAUAGUACCUUACUACUUGGAUAACCGUGGUAAUUCUAGAGCUAAUACAUGCUAAAAAUCCCGACUUCGGAAGGGAUGUGUUUAUUAGAUUAAAAACCAAUGCCCUUCGGGGCUCACUGGUGAUUCAUGAUAACCUCUCGAAUCGCAUGGCCUUGCGCCGGCGAUGGUUCAUUCAAAUUUCUGCCCUAUCAACUUUCGAUGGCUGGGUCUUGGCCAGCCAUGGUGACAACGGGUAACGGAGGGUUAGGGCUCGACCCCGGAGAAGAAGCAUGAGAAUCGGCUUCUACAUCCAAGGAAGGCAGCAGGCGCGCAAAUUACCCAAUCCCGACUCGGGGAGGUAGUGACAAUAAAUACUGAUACAGGGCUCUUUUGGGUCUUGUAAUUGGAAUGAGUACAAUUUAAAUCCCUUAACGAGGAACAAUUGGAGGGCAAGUCUGGUGCCAGCAGCCGCGGUAAUUCCAGCUCCAAUAGCGUAUAUUAAAGUUGUUGCAGUUAAAAAGCUCGUAGUUGAACCUUGGGCCUGGCUGGCCGGUCCGCCUCACCGCGUGCACUGGUCCGGCCGGGCCUUUCCCUCUGGGGAACCGCAUGUCCUUCACUGGGCGUGCUGGGGAACCAGGACUUUUACUUUGAAAAAAUUAGAGUGUUCAAAGCAGGCCUAUGCUCGAAUACAUUAGCAUGGAAUAAUAGAAUAGGACGUGCGGUUCUAUUUUGUUGGUUUCUAGGACCGCCGUAAUGAUUAAUAGGGACAGUCGGGGGCAUCAGUAUUCAAUUGUCAGAGGUGAAAUUCUUGGAUUUAUUGAAGACUAACUACUGCGAAAGCAUUUGCCAAGGAUGUUUUCAUUAAUCAGGAACGAAAGUUAGGGGAUCGAAGACGAUCAGAUACCGUCGUAGUCUUAACCAUAAACUAUGCCGACUAGGGAUCGGACGAUGUUAUUUUUUGACUCGUUCGGCACCUUACACGAAAGUACAAG